rnacentral:tRNA from 1 species
UAGUAGAUAAACUAUGUAAGUUGUUGGGUUCAUGGCCCUUUUAAGGUUUUAGCCUCUGCUCA